GACGUAGGGGGCAAGCGUUGUCCGGAUUUAUUGGGCGUAAAGAGCUCGUAGGCGGCUUGGCAAGUCGGAUGUGAAAUCUCCAGGCUUAACCUGGAGUCGCCAUCCGAUACUGCUAUGGCUAGAGUCCGGUAGAGGAUCGUGGAAUUCCUGGUGUAGCGGUGAAAUGCGCAGAUAUCAGGAGGAACACCAACGGCGAAGGCAGCGAUCUGGGCCGGUACUGACGCUGAGGAGCGAAAGCGUGGGGAGCGAACAGG
rnacentral:rRNA from 2 species